GACGAACGCUGACGGCGUGCUUAACACAUGCAAGUCGAACGGAAAGGCCCUGCUUUUGUGGGGUGCUCGAGUGGCGAACGGGUGAGUAACACGUGAGUAACCUGCCCUUGACUUUGGGAUAACUUCAGGAAACUGGGGCUAAUACCGGAUAGGAGCUCCUGCUGCAUGGUGGGGGUUGGAAAGUUUCGGCGGUUGGGGAUGGACUCGCGGCUUAUCAGCUUGUCGGUGGGGUAGUGGCUUACCAAGGCUUUGACGGGUAGCCGGCCUGAGAGGGUGACCGGCCACAUUGGGACUGAGAUACGGCCCAGACUCCUACGGGAGGCAGCAGUGGGGAAUAUUGCACAAUGGGCGGAAGCCUGAUGCAGCAACGCCGCGUGCGGGAUGACGGCCUUCGGGUUGUAAACCGCUUUCGCCUGUGACGAAGCGUGAGUGACGGUAAUGGGUAAAGAAGCACCGGCUAACUACGCG
rnacentral:rRNA from 1 species